rnacentral:piRNA from 1 species
UGCCAAACAUUAGAAGGUGGUUUCAGACCUU